UUGGAUAACCGUGGUAAUUCUAGAGCUAAUACAUGCUGAAAACCCCAACUUCGGAAGGGGUGUAUUUAUUAGAUAAAAAACCAACGCCCUUCGGGGCUUCUUGGUGAUUCAUAAUAACUUUACGGAUCGCAUGGCCUUGCGCCGGCGACGGUUCAUUCAAAUUUCUGCCCUAUCAACUUUCGAUGGUAAGGUAUUGGCUUACCAUGGUUUCAACGGGUAACGGGGAAUUAGGGUUCGAUUCCGGAGAGGGAGCCUGAGAAACGGCUACCACAUCCAAGGAAGGCAGCAGGCGCGCAAAUUACCCAAUCCCGACACGGGGAGGUAGUGACAAUAAAUACUGAUACAGGGCUCUUUUGGGUCUUGUAAUUGGAAUGAGUACAAUUUAAACCUCUUAACGAGGAACAAUUGGAGGGCAAGUCUGGUGCCAGCAGCCGCGGUAAUUCCAGCUCCAAUAGCGUAUAUUAAAGUUGUUGCAGUUAAAAAGCUCGUAGUUGAAACUUGGGUCUGGCUGGCAGGUCCGCCUCACCGCGUGUACUUGUCCGGCCGGGCCUUCCUUCUGGAGAACCUCAUGCCCUUCACUGGGCGUGUUGGGGACCAGGACUUUUACUUUGAAAAAAUUAGAGUGUUCAAAGCAGGCCUUUGCUCGAAUACGUUAGCAUGGAAUAAUAGAAUAGGACGUGCGUUCCUAUUUUGUUGGUUUCUAGGAACGCCGUAAUGAUUAAUAGGGACAGUCGGGGGCAUCAGUAUUCAAUUGUCAGAGGUGAAAUUCUUGGAUUUAUUGAAGACUAACUACUGCGAAAGCAUUUGCCAAGGAUGUUUUCAUUAAUCAGUGAACGAAAGUUAGGGGAUCGAAGACGAUCAGAUACCGUCGUAGUCUUAACCGUAAACUAUGCCGACUAGGGAUCGGGCGAUGUUCUUUUUCUGACUCGCUCGGCACCUUACGAGAAAUCAAA
rnacentral:rRNA from 1 species